rnacentral:tRNA from 1 species
GAGAGAGGCUCGUAGCAACGAAGACUGCUAAUCUCCGCCCCCUAGGUUAAACUCCAAGGCUCACUCG